GGUAGCAAAAGGGAUUAGAUACCCCUGUAGUCCUAGCCGUAAACGAUGGAUACUAGAUGUUGUGCUUUAUGUACAGUAUCGUAGCUAACGCGUUAAGUAUCCCGCCUGGGGAGUACGCUCGCAAGGGUGAAACUCAAAGGAAUUGACGGGGGCCCGCACAAGCGGUGGAGCAUGUGGUUUAAUUCGAUGAUACGCGAGGAACCUUACCAGGGCUUAAAUGCAGAACGACAGAUUGGGAAACCAGUCCUUCUUCGGACAUUUUGCAAGGUGCUGCAUGGUUGUCGUCAGCUCGUGCCGUGAGGUGUCAGGUUAAGUCCUAUAACGAGCGCAACCCCUAUUCUUAGUUGCCAGCGGUUCGGCCGGGGACUCUAAGAAAACUGCCAGUGCAAGCUGUGAGGAAGGUGGGGAUGACGUCAAAUCAUCACGGCCCUUACGACCUGGGCCACACACGUGCUACAAUGGUAGGUACAAAGGGCAGCCACUUGGCGACAAGGAGCUAAUCUCUAAAACCUAUCUCAGUUCGGAUUGGAGUCUGCAACUCGACUCUAUGAAGCUGGAAUCGCUAGUAAUCGCGCAUCAGCCAUGGCGCGGUGAAUACGUUCCCGGGCCUUGUACACACCGCCCGUCAAGCCAUGGAAGCUGGGAGUACCUGAAGUCGGUAACCGUAAGGAGCCGCCUAGGGUAAAACUGGUAACUAGGGCUAAGUCGUAACAAGGUAGCCGUCCC
rnacentral:rRNA from 1 species